UGCGUAGGCGGGUCUUUAAGUCAGGGGUGAAAUCCUGGAGCUCAACUCCAGAACUGCCUUUGAUACUGAAGAUCUUGAGUCCGGGAGAGGUGAGUGGAACUGCGAGUGUAGAGGUGAGAUUCGUAGAUAUUCGCAAGAACACCAGUGGCGAAGGCGGCUCACUGGCCCGGUACUGACGCUGAGGCACGAAAGCGUGGGAGCAAACA
rnacentral:rRNA from 1 species